rnacentral:rRNA from 1 species
GUUUCAGCAGCCGCGGUAAGACGAACCACACAAACGUUAUUCGGAAUUACUGGGCUUAAAGGGUGCGUAGGCUGUGCGGAAAGUUGGGUGUGAAAUCCCCCGGCUCAACCGGGGAAUUGCGCCCAAAACUACCGUGCUUGAGGAAGACAGAGGUGAGCGGAACUUCGGGUGGAGCGGUGAAAUGCGUUGAUAUCCGAAGGAACACCGGUGGCGAAAGCGGCUCACUGGGUCUUUUCUGACGCUGAUGCACGAAAGCUAGGGGAGCAAACGGGAUUAGAAACCCGUGUAGUCC